UAUUUUGCCCCACUUCAUAAACUUUAGCUCUUGCAUUAACAAAACAAAUUCUUCGUAUUUUCAAAGGGAAAGCAGGAUAAAUAACUGAGUCCGAAAAUGCCCCAAGAACACAGCUAUUAUACAAAUCAACAUACCUCAAAGUUCUCCAGAAGGAGUGGAAGCUUGACAGAGAGAGGCACUUCAGUGUCAAGGAAGCAGCCAGCAGCCGAGAGAAGAUGGUGA
rnacentral:lncRNA from 1 species